CAGGACUCGCAAGACUCCUACAACCCUGUGAACUUAACUAUAAGCACGUUGCUUCGGCGGGUGUCUCGGCGAGGGUUCUCCCUCCCCGCGGGCGCGUCAGCCCGCCGGCAGCCUACUAUACUCUGUUCUCUUUGCGUUGGCAUCUCGAGUAAAAUCAAAUAAGUUA
rnacentral:misc_RNA from 1 species